rnacentral:rRNA from 1 species
AGAGUUUGAUCCUGGCUCAGGAUUAACGCUGGCGGCGUGCAUAACACAUGCAAGUCGAACGAUGAAACUUUAAUGAACCCUUCGGGGAGAAUUAAAGCGGAUUAGUGGCGAACGGGUGAGUAACGCGUGAGUAACCUGCCUUACACAAGGGGAUAGCCUUUGGAAACGAAGAAUAAUACCCUAUAAAACCAUAAAAGCACAUGCAAUUAUGGUCAAAGUAUUAGCGGUGUAAGAUGGACUUGCGUCUGAUUAGCUAGUUGGUGAGAUAAAAGCCCACCAAGGCAACGAUCAGUAGCCGGCUUGAGAGAGUGUACGGCCACAUUGGGACUGAGACACGGCCCAGACUCCUACGGGAGGCAGCAGUGGGGAAUUUUGCACAAUGGGGGAAACCCUGAUGCAGCGACGCCGCGUGAUUUAGAAGGCCUUCGGGUUGUAAAAAUCUUUUGUAUAGGAAGAAAAUGACAGUACUAUACGAAUAAGGUCCGGCUAAUUACGUGCCAGCAGCCGCGGUAAUACGUAAGGACCGAGCGUUGUCCGGAAUCAUUGGGCGUAAAGGGUACGUAGGCGGCUAGAAAAGUUAAAAGUCAAAGGCUAUAGCUCAACUAUAGUAAGCUUCUAAAACUAUUUAGCUUGAGAGAUGGAAGGGAAAGUGGAAUUCCUAGUGUAGCGGUGGAAUGCGCAGAUAUUAGGAGGAAUACCGGUGGCGAAGGCGACUUUCUGGCCAUUUUCUGACGCUGAGGUACGAAAGCGUGGGUAGCAAACAGGAUUAGAUACCCUGGUAGUCCACGCCGUAAACGAUGAGUGUUAGGUGUCUGGAGUCAAAUCUGGGUGCCGCAGCAAACGCAUUAAACACUCCGCCUGGGGAGUACGCACGCAAGUGUGAAACUCAAAGGAAUUGACGG